GACGAACGCUGGCGGCGUGCUUAACACAUGCAAGUCGAACGGAAAGGCCCUGCUUUUGUGGGGUGCUCGAGUGGCGAACUGGUGAGUAACACGUGAGUAACCUGCCCUUGACUUUGGGAUAACUUCAGGAAACUGGGGCUAAUACCGGAUAGGAGCUCCUGCUGCAUGGUGGGGGUUGGACAGUUUCGGCGGUUGGGGAUGGACUCGCGGCUUAUCAGCUUGUUGGUGGGGUAGUGGAUUACCAAGGCUUUGACGGGUAGCCGGCCUGAGAGGGGGAGCGGCCACAUCGGGACUGGGAUACGGCCCAGACUCGUACGGGAGGCAGCGGUGGGGAAUAUUGCACUAUGGGCGGAAGCCUGAUGCAGCAACGCCGCGUGCGGGAUGACGGCCUGCGGGUUGUAAACCGCUUUCGCCUGUGACGAAGCGUGAGUGACGGUAAUGGGUAAAGAAGCACCGGCUAACUACGUG
rnacentral:rRNA from 1 species